rnacentral:rRNA from 1 species
AGAGUUUGAUCAUGGCUCAGAACGUACGCUGGCGGCACGCCUAACACAUGCAAGUCGAACGAAGUAGCAAUACUUAGUGGCAGACGGGUGAGUAACAUGUAGGUAUCUGCCCUUUGGCCUGGAAUAACACGAGGAAACUUGUGCUAAUACCGGAUAAGUCUUUACGGAGAAAGCUUUAUGCACCAUUGGAUGAGCCUGCACUUGAUUAGUUUGUUGGUGGGGUAAUGGCCUACCAAGACUGUGAUCAAUAGCUGAUUUGAGAGGAUGAUCAGCCACAUUGGGACUGAGACACGGCCCAAACUCCNACGGGGGGCAGCAG